GAUGAACGCUGGCGGCGUGCUUAACACAUGCAAGUCGAACGAAGCACUUUAAUUGAUUUCUUCGGAAUGAAGUUUUUGUGACUGAGUGGCGGACGGGUGAGUAACGCGUGGGUAACCUGCCUCAUACAGGGGGAUAACAGUUGGAAACGACUGCUAAUACCGCAUAAGCGCACAGGAUUGCAUGAUCCAGUGUGAAAAACUCCGGUGGUAUGAGAUGGACCCGCGUCUGAUUAGCCAGUUGGCGGGGUAACGGCCCACCAAAGCGACGAUCAGUAGCCGACCUGAGAGGGUGACCGGCACAUUGGGACUGAGACACGGGCCCAAAACUCCUACGGGAGGCAGCAGUGGGGAAUAUUGCACAAUGGGGGAAACCCUGAUGCAGCGACGCCGCGUGAGCGAAGAAGUA
rnacentral:rRNA from 1 species